rnacentral:rRNA from 1 species
UUCGCAAUGCCCGAAAGGGUGACGAAGCGACGCCGCGUGGGUGAGGAAGGCCUUCGGGUUGUAAAGCCCUGUCAGGAGUUAAGAAAUGUAAGUGCGCUAAUAUCGCAUUUAUUUGACGAAGGCUCCAAAGGAAGCCACGGCUAACUCUGUGCCAGCAGCCGCGGUAAUACAGAGGUGGCAAGCGUUGUUCGGAAUUAUUGGGCGUAAAGAGCACGUAGGUGGGUUUGUAAGUCAGAUGUGAAAGCCUUCUGUUCAACGGAAGAAUUGCAUCUGAAACUGCGAGUCUUGAGUGUAGGAGGGGAGAAUGGAACUUCUGGUGGAGCGGUGAAAUGCGUAGAUAUCAGAAGGAACGCCGGCGGCGAAAGCGAUUCUCUGGCCUAUUACUGACACUCAGUGUGCGAAAGCUAGGGGAGCAAACGGGAUUAGAUACCCCGGUAGUCCUGGCCGUAAACGAUGGGCACUAAGUAGAGGGGUUUU